CAUGACCAGACAGGGGCCAGAUUCACUAGGCUGGGCUGGGGAGGGCAGACUCAGGAGCCCCUCUGUAGCUCUGUCUAGGCUCUUUCCCAGGAGGAGGACCAGAUGCGCUCAACCCAGAGGUAGGACGGCACAGGAGCCAUAGGCACCCCCACUGUGCACACAGACCUGGACAGAGGCUUCUUGUUAUGGGGUUAGUACAACUACUCCCAGGACCCAUGCCCCUCACUGCCAGUUCCCAGCCUUCCCAAGAGCCCCUCACGCUCUGUCAGCCAAAUCCUAAAGGUCACCGCCAUCCUGACUGCCCCAGGGGAACAAUGUGAGGCUUUAUGUGGAUCAACUGCUCCCCACUGUCUAGCUGACUCAGAGCUCCUGACAUGGGGCACCACACUUCCUUCUCACUUAGAUUCCAGCCUCUCUCACUCCCUGUCCUUCAUCCGAAUCCCCACUGACAGUGUGUUCCAUCCUUCUCGAAGAAGCCCACGCGGAGUGCCAGAGGAGCCCAAUCAGUCAGAAUGUGGUACAAGGAUCCCUGGGAGCUAACCCUGAGUCACUACCAGCUGUCUGACCGAUCUUGUCACCAAUGUCACUUCCAAGCUGAGUGUGUGAUUCUGAAGAGUGGAGGCAAAUGUGCCUCAUGUUGCAGCAGUGUGGACAAUUAAGACCAUAUGUGUGAUUAGAGUAACUGUUCAAUACAGGAUGCCACAUACCCAGUCUGCAUCUCCAGUUUGGGUCAUCUGCCUGCCUGCCUGUGGGGUAGGUGUCUGUGUGAGCUUACCUCCUCUAAUCUGAGGAGUUCAAGAACAAAUUCCACCCAUGCCCUGUUGUGAAACAGAAUAUUUGUUCAACUAAGUAGAGAUGUGUUGCAUCUGUUUGUGUUGCAGAAUAAUUGUUUAACUAUAUAAAGAUGGGUUGCAUUUCUUCAUGCUGCAUUUGUUAAACCGUGUAAAGGUGUGUUGCUUUGGUUUAUGCUGCAUUUGUUUAGCUAUGUCAAGAUGUGUUGCUGCCUGCCUAAGGCCCAU